rnacentral:rRNA from 1 species
AAUAUGGCAAAAUGGGCAAAAGCCUAAUGCAGCAACGCCGCGUGAAUGAUGAAGGUAUUAGGGUCGUAAAGUUCUUCGAUCAGAGAUAAUAAUGACAGUACAUGAAAAACAAGCCACGCCUAACUACGUGCCACCAGCCGCGGUAAUACGUAGGUGGCGAGCGUUGUCCGGAAUUACUGGGCGUAAAGGAUGCGUAGGUGGAUACUUAAGUGGGAUGUGAAAUCCCCGGGCUCAACCCGGGAACUGCAUUCCAAACUGGGUAUCUAGAGUGCAGGAGAGGAAAGCGGAAUUCCUAGUGUAGCGGUGAAAUGCGUAGAUAUUAGGAGGAACACCAGUGGCGAAGGCGGCUUUCUGGACUGUAACUGACACUGAGGCAUGAAAGCGUGGGUAGCAAACAGG